AGCGAACGCUGGCGGCGUGCUUAACACAUGCAAGUCGAGCGAAGGUGUUUCAAGGGUAACCUUGAGAUACACUUAGCGGCGGACGGGUGAGUAAUACGUGGAUAACUUACCUCUAGGCCUGGGAUAACCCCGGGAAACUGGGGCUAAUACCUGAUAAGACCACAUUGUCUACGGACAAAGGGUAAAGGUGGCUGUGCAAACAGCUAUCG
rnacentral:rRNA from 1 species